rnacentral:rRNA from 118 species
GAGUGAAAUAGAACCUGAAACCGUGUGCUUACAAGUAGUCAGAGCCCGUUAAUGGGUGAUGGCGUGCCUUUUGUAGAAUGAACCGGCGAGUUACGAUUUGAUGCAAGGUUAAGCAGUAAAUGUGGAGCCGUAGCGAAAGCGAGUCUGAAUAGGGCGUUUAGUAUUUGGUCGUAGACCCGAAACCAGGUGAUCUACCCUUGGUCAGGUUGAAGUUCAGGUAACACUGAAUGGAGGACCGAACCGACUUACGUUGAAAAGUGAGCGGAUGAACUGAGGGUAGCGGAGAAAUUCCAAUCGAACCUGGAGAUAGCUGGUUCUCUCCGAAAUAGCUUUAGGGCUAGCCUCAAGUGAUGAUUAUUGGAGGUAGAGCACUGUUUGGACGAGGGGCCCCUCUCGGGUUACCGAAUUCAGACAAACUCCGAAUGCCAAUUAAUUUAACUUGGGAGUCAGAACAUGGGUGAUAAGGUCCGUGUUCGAAAGGGAAACAGCCCAGACCACCAGCUAAGGUCCCAAAAUAUAUGUUAAGUGGAAAAGGAUGUGGCGUUGCCCAGACAACUAGGAUGUUGGCUUAGAAGCAGCCAUCAUUUAAAGAGUGCGUAAUAGCUCACUAGUCGAGUGACACUGCGCCGAAAAUGUACCGGGGCUAAACAUAUUACCGAAGCUGUGGAUUGUCCUUUGGACAAUGGUAGGAGAGCGUUCUAAGGGCGUUGAAGCAUGAUCGUAAGGACAUGUGGAGCGCUUAGAAGUGAGAAUGCCGGUGUGAGUAGCGAAAGACGGGUGAGAAUCCCGUCCACCGAUUGACUAAGGUUUCCAGAGGAAGGCUCGUCCGCUCUGGGUUAGUCGGGUCCUAAGCUGAGGCCGACAGGCGUAGGCGAUGGAUAACAGGUUGAUAUUCCUGUACCACCUAUAAUCGUUUUAAUCGAUGGGGGGACGCAGUAGGAUAGGCGAAGCGUGCGAUUGGAUUGCACGUCUAAGCAGUAAGGCUGAGUAUUAGGCAAAUCCGGUACUCGUUAAGGCUGAGCUGUGAUGGGGAGAAGACAUUGUGUCUUCGAGUCGUUGAUUUCACACUGCCGAGAAAAGCCUCUAGAUAGAAAAUAGGUGCCCGUACCGCAAACCGACACAGGUAGUCAAGAUGAGAAUUCUAAGGUGAGCGAGCGAACUCUCGUUAAGGAACUCGGCAAAAUGACCCCGUAACUUCGGGAGAAGGGGUGCUCUUUAGGGUUAACGCCCAGAAGAGCCGCAGUGAAUAGGCCCAAGCGACUGUUUAUCAAAAACACAGGUCUCUGCUAAACCGUAAGGUGAUGUAUAGGGGCUGACGCCUGCCCGGUGCUGGAAGGUUAAGAGGAGUGGUUAGCUUCUGCGAAGCUACGAAUCGAAGCCCCAGUAAACGGCGGCCGUAACUAUAACGGUCCUAAGGUAGCGAAAUUCCUUGUCGGGUAAGUUCCGACCCGCACGAAAGGCGUAACGAUUUGGGCACUGUCUCAACGAGAGACUCGGUGAAAUCAUAGUACCUGUGAAGAUGCAGGUUACCCGCGACAGGACGGAAAGACCCCGUGGAGCUUUACUGUAGCCUGAUAUUGAAAUUCGGCACAGCUUGUACAGGAUAGGUAGGAGCCUUUGAAACGUGAGCGCUAGCUUACGUGGAGGCGCUGGUGGGAUACUACCCUAGCUGUGUUGGCUUUCUAACCCGCACCACUUAUCGUGGUGGGAGACAGUGUCA